rnacentral:misc_RNA from 1 species
AACCUAGCACACCUGCGGUGUGUACCUGCGGAAGGAUCAUUACACAUAUAAAGUAUGCCUGGGAAAAUUCGAAAGAAAAGUACCCAGGCGUAUUCUUAUACCCAUGUCUUUUGCGUACUACUUGUUUCCUUGGUGGGCUUGCCUGCCAUUAGGACACCCCUACAAACCUUUUGUAAUUGCAGUCAGCGUCAGAAAAUAACGUAAUCGUUACAACUUUUAACAAUGGAUCUCAGAUCGGAA